GACAGAGGGGGCAAGCGUUGCUCGGAAUUAUUGGGCGUAAAGAGCUUGUAGGCGGUUUGUCGCGUCUGCUGUGAAAUUUCGGGGCUCAACCCCGAACUUGCAGUGGGUACGGGCAGACUAGAGUGUGGUAGGGGAGACUGGAAUUCCUGGUGUAGCGGUGAAAUGCGCAGAUAUCAGGAGGAACACCGAUGGCGAAGGCAGGUCUCUGGGCCAUAACUGACGCUGAGAAGCGAAAGCAUGGGGAGCGAACAGG
rnacentral:rRNA from 1 species